rnacentral:rRNA from 1 species
GACGAACGCUGGCGGCGUGCUUAACACAUGCAAGUCGAACGGAAAGGCCCUGCUUUUGUGGGGUGCUCGAGUGGCGAACGGGUGAGUAACACGUGAGUAACCUGCCCUUGACUUUGGGAUAACUUCAGGAAACUGGGGCUAAUACCGGAUAGGAGCUCCUGCUGCAUGGUGGGGGUUGGAAAGUUUCGGCGGUUGGGGAUGGACUCGCGGCUUAUCAGCUUGUUGGUGGGGUAGUGGCUUACCAAGGCUUUGACGGGUAGCCGGCCUGAGAGGGUGACCGGCCACAUUGGGACUGCGAUACGGCCCAGACUCCUACGGGAGGCAGCGGUGGGGAAUAUUGCACAAUGGGCGGAAGCCUGAUGCAGCAACGCCGCGUGCGGGAUGACGGCCUUCGGGUUGUAAACCGCUUUCGCCUGUGACGAAGCGUGAGUGACGGUAAUGGGUAAAGAAGCACCGGCUAACUACGUG